rnacentral:rRNA from 1 species
GAUGAACGCUGGCGGCGUGCCUAAUACAUGCAAGUCGAGCGAACGGACGAGAAGCUUGCUUUUCUGAUGUUAGCGGCGGACGGGUGAGUAACACGUGGAUAACCUACCUAUAAGACUGGGAUAACUUCGGGAAACCGGAGCUAAUACCGGAUAAUAUUUUGAACCGCAUGGUUCAAAAGUGAAAGACGGUCUUGCUGUCACUUAUAGAUGGAUCCGCGCUGCAUUAGCUAGUUGGUAAGGUAACGGCUUACCAAGGCAACGAUGCAUAGCCGACCUGAGAGAGGGGUCGCCCACAUGGGAGUGGGACCGGGCACAAUACGCCUGAGGGGGGGACCAGAGGCGAAUGUGCGGCAAGGGGGGAGAGCAUUGCGGAGCAGGCGCGAGUGAGAUAUAGCGGCGUCGGGUUGGGAAAGACUGCUUUUGGGGUAAAAACAUAUUUUAAAAAAGUAGUAGAGAUCGUGACGGUACCUGAAGAAAAAGCCCCGGCUAACUACGUG